UACGGGGGGGGCAAGCGUUGCUCGGAAUUACUGGGCGUAAAGGGCUCGUAGGUGGCCAACUAAGUCAGACGUGAAAUCCCUCAGCUUAACUGGGGAACUGCGUCUGAUACUGGAUGGCUUGAGUUUGGGAGAGGGAUGCGGAAUUCCAGGUGUAGCGGUGAAAUGCGUAGAUAUCUGGAGGAACACCGGUGGCGAAGGCGGCAUCCUGGACCAACACUGACACUGAGGAGCGAAAGCCAGGGGAGCAAAAGGG
rnacentral:rRNA from 1 species